AAAAUAUUGUCUAAAUUAUUGAAUAUAGCUGCUGAAGCCAUAUAUAAUAUUUCACUAUGUUUAUUCCUCCCUUAAGAAUGGGAUGGAAAUUAUAGAAUACAUAUCUGGUGAUAACUGAUAGUUUACAUCUUUAUUCCUGCCUUCAUAAUGGUGUGGAAAAUAUAAAUCACGUGUCUGGUGAUAAUUGAUAGUUUACAUCUUUAUUCCUCCUGUCAGAAGAACGAGAUGGAAACUGUAAAUUAUAUCCAGUGAUAAAUGUCACUGAUAGUUUAUAUCUCAUCCUUAUCAUAGAUCUAUAGGAACUCUCAAACCAUCACGUGCAAGCUGCACCAGUAUUCCCUCCAUUUCAGACCAUUCCGCUAAGAAGGCAUUGUCCCUGUAAUGAUCAAACUCGUGAUUCAUUCCCACUAAAAGAGCUUGCUUUGGACAUAACCUCUUCACAGCUUCAAGGGUCUGAGGUAAGCAAAAGUGAACAUUAUGGGAUCCAUCCCUCAGCAAGGAGUCCAAGAUAAGAAGAUCCAACUGCCCAGCCCCUGAUUUUGAAAUUACGUAUUCUGUGGUAGCAGGAAAACGCGAAACAUCAGAUAUAUAAGCUACUCGACUUCUUUCGCCAAAGAGAAAUCCCAAGCAAAUAUAGUCUUCUCCAUGCAUUACUGGCAAAGGAACAAAUUGUAUGCCUAAUGCAACAAAUGGCCUCCGACAAUCUUCUUCAAUUAUCUUCCAAUCUAGCUGUGCUACCCGCCUUAUUUCCGUGUGUUCCCUUAAUUUUUUCUUUAUCAAGUAGGGAAAUUUCAAAGCAAUGCUAUCCAUGGUAGAUUGGCUUAGGAAAACUGGGGUUGGAUCAAUAUCAUUUUUUGCACUAAAUGGUUCCACAGCACGUAUGUCAUCAAGUCCAAGAACUGCAUCAGCAUGUUCAUGAGUCAAAAUAAUAGAAUCCACUCGAGGAAUCUUGUGGAAAAUAAACCACCUAAGUACUUGCUCCCUGAAUGUCUUCCCAACAUCAAUCAAUAUAUAAUUGUGUUUCUCAUCACUCUGGCAAUAAUCUAUAAGAAGAGAUGUAUUGCACCUAUAGUUGGGAUUUUGCUCGGGCGGGACAGAGAGGGCCAUGGAGCAAACAUGGCAGCGAGGAUCCGAUGGCCGAAUCAGGCACGUUGCAAAUGGGAUGCAGUUGGAGCAACCGGUGCCAAGAAAGAUCAAAGCGGAUUUAACGCCACCAUCGUUAUUAGCAGCCAUCAAUGGAGACUCCAUUUCAGUGAAGUCGGUGUGAAAUGGAGAAACUUUUGCGUGAG
rnacentral:misc_RNA from 1 species